UUGGAUCUUUACGAGCCAAGUCAUUGUCGGAAUUUUCAUAUUCGGUGGAUCGCGCGCCGUCUAUUGAAAGUUCCUCGAGGUCGACGUCGGCAUUUUAAUAGGAAUUAUAUCGACGGAACAGACGAGUUUUUGAAUACGUUUCCCGCGACCAUAAUAGAUUUGUGACGGACGGCAUUCCGAUCGAGCGGUUCGAUCGAAGAGUCGUGUUCAUCGAAGGAAUAAUUAUCGUUGUGUGGAUAUUGUCUCGCACGGCGAGUCAUUAUCAAUGCAGAAAUUGCUCCGUGCUGCGGACCAAGUUUCUUUCAUUACCAGACCGCCAUUUUGUGCGCCUUCGAUGCGCAAUGGUGUAAGGGACACGAAUAAACAUCUGGGAAAAUGAUUAAAAGGAUUGCAGUAUCAUUGGAAAUUUAUUUGUUUUUCAAGCUUUGUUUCGUCGAACAUAAAUGCUGCAGCAAAAUGUAAAUGUGAACAUAUUCGUACCAUUUUAUACAUUUUUUAAGUGAAAUAAUAAUGGAACAUAAGUUUGAUAUUAUAGAUGACACAAAAUCUGCAACAAUUGCUGCAGUAUACAACAGCCACAACGGGAAAAUCUCCUGUUGCUAUUACUAUGAAUGCGUUUCUUGAACUUGUACCUAAGUAAAAAUUCUUGUGCUGGGUCACGAUUGUCACCAUGUUUCAUAUACUUCUUCCGAUGUCCCACGACCUACAAAAUGACACGCGAAUGACCAUAGUCAUGGUCAUACGCUUACCGACGAAACUUAGGAAGCUUCAUAUACCGUUAACAUUUGAAUAAAAUUUGACUUUUCAAUAAAAA